GCCCAGUGUGUCCGCGGCUCGCUCCCGGAGCUACGCCGGCUUUGGCCUCAGCGCAGAGAGACCCGGCAAAGGUACAACAGGCUGGGGCCGAGUGAGGGUGCGCUGAGCACAAUCGCUGACCGCUCACAGGUGGAUCGCACUAGCUGACCGCCUUGGUCGGUGCUCCGGGAGCCUCAGGGGCAGGAUUAUCCUUCCUGCGUCUGUCCCUGCGUUUCUUCGGAACGGCUUUCAUUCCCUGCCCUGCGCUGUGGUCAGAUUGCAGUGCUUCGCUAGGAUUUGUCGGCGACAGUCUUUACCUAGAUAACACACCUCUCCCCCUCACGGUGUCCUCAAGGUGUCAGUCUUUGCACAAAGAACAACCCCUAUUGUGUCUCCCGCGUGGGUCACCUCAUCGGGCUCCGGUUCCCUGCCCCGCCUCUUGCUUCCCAGGCAGCUGGGUUCAUUUGCCCGAAAGAUGAACGCUCCCAGCCAAGCAUGAUGAUUGUGCAUACGGGGCGUGUACAUUCACAUCUCCCCUGAGUUUCCAGGGCCCAAAGGACACCCCUGGUUGGACAAAGUGGGUCUCCGUGAAUAGAGUGCACCUCACACACACCCCUCCACCGCCCGGUGAUGAGACCCGCAGCUCCCCGCAGCGGUGGGUCUACCGGAUCACAGCCAAGCUCAGUCUUCAAAGAGCUAAGCCCCCACCCCCAAUCCCCA
rnacentral:lncRNA from 1 species